rnacentral:rRNA from 1 species
GUAGCGGCGAGCGAACGCGGAUUAGCCCAAACCAAUAAAGUUUUCUUUAUUGGGGUUGCGGACAUAUCAUAACGAAGAGGUAUCGUAAUUGAAGAGGUUUGGAAAGACCCACCACAGAAGGUAAUAGGCCUGUAUGUUAAACGAGAAGACUUUAGAUAUGAUCCAGAGUACCACGGGACACGUGAAACCCUGUGGGAAGCAGGAGGG